UGGGGCUGUGAGCAACAGAUUGGGAUGUCUCUCUUCUUCUCUUUCUAGGGUUUUUCUCUCUCAAGAAAGGAUCAAGGUAGCAAGCUCAUUUUCUUCUCCUGUUGUGUUGCUACUGAAUUGGGAAGGCUUGGAGCUAGCUUUUGGAAGGAGGAAAGAGCUGUUUUGAUAAUGUUCUUCAAGCUUACUACAGGGGAAUUGUAGAGAGAGAGCUGUAGAAAGCCGAGCUAAGAGGAGGCCCUAGUAGCUAGAGAAGUACUACUUGACUGCGACUUCUCUAUAGUAGUCUAAAGAUGGACUGAAUUUUGCGUUAAGAUGCAGCAGCUUGGAGAUCACUUUGGGCUGAUUAUAGUGAUCACUAUGGACUGAUUUAGAGUAUUCCAACCUGGGCUAAGAGGUGGAAUAGCCCUGGUUUAAACCGGGUUGAGAAAUUAGUCGAAAUUGGACAAGUAGUGAUCACUUUAAUGCAGUUUUAUAACCAAUUUGCAGCAGGUUAUAGAAUCAUUUCGAGCUGAAUAUAACAACUUUUGAAGUUGGUCUUGUUUGGGUCUUCAGUUCGAACCAGGGAAGAGCUCAAUUGGAGUUGUGAGAAGCAGGUUGAUGAUCACCUUGAUCUGAAUUUUGGUGAUUGUUGAAGGCUGAGUUGGAUAUGUUCCAACCUGGAAUAAAGUGAAGAUAAGUUGAACUCUAAUUGAAGUGAGAUUCUAAUCUAUUACUAUGUAAUCGAAUAAGUGUAUUAAUGCUAAAUUUGGCAGUUGUUUACAGCAGGGGAUUAAACCCCCUUGAGCUGAUUCUAGUGGCAAUUAAAGGCUGUUCUGGAGUAUUCCAACCUAAGUGGAAGUGGAGGUUUAAUUCCAAUCUGAACCUAGGUUCGUAGGUCACUAUGAGUUGAGUGUGGUGAUUCAUGAAGACUGAAUUUGAUGUACUCCAAUCUGUUAUACAGUAAAGUUAAGUGAACUUUAAUCAAGUAAAUAGGAGGCUUCAAAUUACCUUCACUCGUGGGAUCAACAGGAGUCAUCGACAAAGUGGUUCGCACGUGAGCGGCGCGGCGGCGCGAGGAAAG